AUUGAACGCUGGCGGCAGGCCUAACACAUGCAAGUCGAGCGGAUGAAGGGAGCUUGCUCCUGGAUUCAGCGGCGGACGGGUGAGUAAUGCCUAGGAAUCUGCCUGGUAGUGGGGGAUAACGUCCGGAAACGGGCGCUAAUACCGCAUACGUCCUGAGGGAGAAAGUGGGGGAUCUUCGGACCUCACGCUAUCAGAUGAGCCUAGGUCGGAUUAGCUAGUUGGUGGGGUAAAGGCCUACCAAGGCGACGAUCCGUAACUGGUCUGAGAGGAUGAUCAGUCACACUGGAACUGAGACACGGUCCAGACUCCUACGGGAGGCAGCAGUGGGGAAUAUUGGGCAAUGGGCGAAAGCCUGAUGCAGCCAUGCCGCGUGUGUGAAGAAGGUCUUCGGAUCGUAAAGCACUUUAAGUUGGGAGGAAGAGCAGUAAGUUAAUACCUUGCUGUUUUGACGUUACCAACAGAAUAAGCACCGGCUAACUUCGUG
rnacentral:rRNA from 1 species